UUUCCGUAGGUGAACCUGCGGAAGGAUCAUUACUGAAGUGAGUCUUCAUCAUUGAAGCUUCUUCCCAUUGUGCUGGCUUUGACCGUAUGUAAUGUUGGGGAUUAAACAUAGUUGAAAUUUUUUUUAGCCGUCCCCAACAAUUUAUCUUAUCCUUUAUUAAAUUGGACUGAACUCAUUUUGAGAUUACAUAAAAAAUAAUCUUUUAAUACAACUUUCAACAACGGAUCUCUUGGUUCUC
rnacentral:misc_RNA from 1 species